rnacentral:rRNA from 1 species
GACGAACGCUGGCGGCGCGCUUAACACAUGCAAGUCGAACGGAAAGGCCCCUUUGGGGGUACUCGAGUGGCGAACGGGUGAGUAACACGUGAGUAACCUGCCCUUGACUUCGGGAUAACUUCAGGAAACUGGGGCUAAUACCGGAUAGGAAUCCUUGCUGCAUGGUGGGGGUUGGAAAGCUUCGGCGGUUUUGGAUGGACUCGCGGCUUAUCAGCUUGUUGGUGGGGUAGUGGCUUACCAAGGCUUUGACGGGUAGCCGGCCUGAGAGGGCGACCGGCCACAUUGGGACUGAGAUACGGCCCAGACUCCUACGGGAGGCAGCGGUGGGGAAUAUUGCACAAUGGGCGGAAGCCUGAUGCAGCAACGCCGCGUGCGGGAUGACGGCCUUCGGGUUGUAAACCGCUUUCAGCAGGGGCGAAGCUUGUGGUGACGGUACCUGCAGAAGAAGCACCGGCUAACUACGUG